rnacentral:rRNA from 1 species
UACGAAGGAUGCAAGCGUUAUCCGGAUUCAUUGGGUUUAAAGGGAGCGUAGGUGGCCUUAUAAGUCAGUGGUGAAAUCUCUCGGCUUAACCGAGAAAUUGCCAUUGAUACUGUAGGGCUUGAGUAUAGUUGCCGUUGGCGGAAUAUGACAUGUAGUGGUGAAAUACAUAGAUAUGUCAUAGAACACCGAUUGCGAAGGCAGCUAACGAAACUGUAACUGACGCUGAGGCUCGAAAGUGCGGGGAUCAAACAGG